CUCCUGUCCCAAUCCUACCUAGUUGGUUCAAAAAGAAAGGACCGCGUUGAAAACAUGAUGGGGUUAAAAGGAGCAGCCCUUUUUGAAUUAAUAGUCGAUAUAAAUAAUAUAAUGGCAUGGUCAUCUAUUUGCAAUUACAAUUAUACAUUGUGUAACACAAAAGCUGAACGUGAUUUGGGUAUAAUGUUUCAAUCCGAUUUAAAAUGGCACUCACAAGUUGAUUCAGCAACCAGCAAAGCAAACAGAAUGUUAGGUACCAUAAA
rnacentral:lncRNA from 1 species